rnacentral:rRNA from 1 species
GACGAACCGUGCGAACGUUAUUCGGAAUCACUGGGCUUAAAGCGCGUGUAGGCGGGCCGCCACGUCGGAUGCUGAAAUCCCCCGGCUCAACCGGGGAACGGGCACCGAUACGAGCGGCCUGGAGGGGAGUAGGGGGACCUGGAACUUCCGGUGGAGCGGUGAAAUGCGUUGAGAUCGGAAGGAACGCCCGUGGCGAAAGCGAGGUCCUGGGCUCUUACUGACGCUGAGACGCGAAAGCCAGGGGA